rnacentral:tRNA from 1 species
GGGGAUUUAGCUCAGUGGUAGAGCGUGCCUAGCAAGCACAAGGCCCUGGGUUCUAUCCUCAGCUCCA